AGAGUUUGAUCCUGGCCUCAGAACGAACGCUGGCGGCAGGCCUAACACAUGCAAGUCGAACGCCCCGCAAGGGGAGUGGCAGACGGGUGAGUAACGCGUGGGAACAUGCCUUUCGGUUCGGAAUAGUCCCGGGAAACUGGGGUUAAUACCGGAUACGUCCUUCGGGAGAAAGAUUUAUCGCCGAAAGAUUGGCCCGCGUCUGAUUAGCUAGUUGGCGGUGUAAUGGACCACCAAGGCGACGAUCAGUAGCUGGUCUGAGAGGAUGAUCAGCCACACUGGGACUGAGACACGGCCCAGACUCCUACGGGAGGCAGCAGUGGGGAAUAUUGGACAAUGGGCGCAAGCCUGAUCCAGCCAUGCCGCGUGAGUGAUGAAGGCCCUAGGGUUGUAAAGCUCUUUCGGCGGGGACGAUAAUGACGGUACCCGCAGAAGAAGCCCCGGCUAACUUCGUGCCAGCAGCCGCGGUA
rnacentral:rRNA from 1 species